rnacentral:rRNA from 1 species
UACGAAUGGAGCGAGCGUUGUUCGGAAUCACUGGGCGUAAAGCGUACGCAGGCGGUCUUGAAAGUCAGGAGUGAAAUCCCAGGGCUCAACCCUGGAAUUGCUUUUGAAACUCCAAGACUAGAGUACUGGAGAGGUUGGCGGAAUUCCGAGUGUAGCAGUGAAAUGCGUAGAUAUUCGGAGGAACACCGAUGGCGUAGGCAGCCAACUGGACAGUUACUGACGCUCAUGUACGAAAGCGUGGGGAUCAAACAGGAUUAGAUACCCUGGUAGUCCACGCCCUAAACGAUGUGUGCUAGUUGUCGGACCCUUUAGGGCCCGGUGACGCAGCUAACGCUUUAAGCACACCGCCUGGGGAGUACGGUCGCAAGAUUAAA